AAGAAAGCGGGAUAGUUAUUUGGACAAUCUUAUAGACCUGAAAGGGGUCCAGUAUUUGCUUAAUUUAUGAAAUGGUCAAAAAAAAUUAACCUCAUCACAGGAAUAGAUUUGUUCGAACUAAACCACGAGAAUUUUAUGGACUUGUUUGGCUACUAUGGAGAAAGGCACUCAUUUGCUGACACAUUAAGAUUUUUCUGAAUUUGCUCCGAGUUGAACACUUUUUUGGUAUGUAUAUUAGAGGGUUAGGUAAGAGAACAACCUUAUAUGCUCAAGCCUGACUAGCCAUUUAUCAUCCGCUUCCUUGGGUGUCCAGGCAAUGCUGUAAUUGCACGGCUGCAGAGAUGACUACCUCGCCCAGGUGGCUCGGGACAACCAAUCCAGCCUAAUUUGGUAUCGUAUUUCAGGAUCGUUUUAUUUAGUAUCCAUAAAUAACCAGCGAACCUAUACUUUUUUCAUGCAACU